AAGUACCCCGAGGAAAAGAAAUCAACCGAGAUUCCCCCAGUAGCGGCGAGCGAACGGGGAGCAGCCCAGAGCCUGAAUCAGUGUGUGUGUUAGUGGAAGCGUCUGGAAAGGCGCGCGAUACAGGGUGACAGCCCCGUACACAAAAAUGCACAUACUGUGAGCUCGAUGAGUAGGGCGGGACACGUGGUAUCCUGUCUGAAUAUGGGGGGACCAUCCUCCAAGGCUAAAUACUCCUGACUGACCGAUAGUGAACCAGUACCGUGAGGGAAAGGCGAAAAGAACCCCGGCGAGGGGAGUGAAAAAGAACCUGAAACCGUGUACGUACAAGCAGUGGGAGCCUCUUUAUGGGGUGACUGCGUACCUUUUGUAUAAUGGGUCAGCGACUUAUAUUCUGUAGCAAGGUUAACCGAAUAGGGGAGCCGAAGGGAAACCGAGUCUUAACUGGGCGUUAAGUUGCAGGGUAUAGACCCGAAACCCGGUGAUCUAGCCAUGGGCAGGUUGAAGGUUGGGUAACACUAACUGGAGGACCGAACCGACUAAUGUUGAAAAAUUAGCGGAUGACUUGUGGCUGGGGGUGAAAGGCCAAUCAAACCGGGAGAUAGCUGGUUCUCCCCGAAAGCUAUUUAGGUAGCGCCUCGUGAAUUCAUCUCCGGGGGUAGAGCACUGUUUCGGCAAGGGGGUCAUCCCGACUUACCAACCCGAUGCAAACUGCGAAUACCGGAGAAUGUUAUCACGGGAGACACACGGCGGGUGCUAACGUCCGUCGUGAAGAGGGAAACAACCCAGACCGCCAGCUAAGGUCCCAAAGUCAUGGUUAAGUGGGAAACGAUGUGGGAAGGCCCAGACAGCCAGGAUGUUGGCUUAGAAGCAGCCAUCAUUUAAAGAAAGCGUAAUAGCUCACUGGUCGAGUCGGCCUGCGCGGAAGAUGUAACGGGGCUAAACCAUGCACCGAAGCUGCGGCAGCGACACUAUGUGUUGUUGGGUAGGGGAGCGUUCUGUAAGCCUGCGAAGGUGUACUGUGAGGUAUGCUGGAGGUAUCAGAAGUGCGAAUGCUGACAUAAGUAACGAUAAAGCGGGUGAAAAGCCCGCUCGCCGGAAGACCAAGGGUUCCUGUCCAACGUUAAUCGGGGCAGGGUGAGUCGACCCCUAAGGCGAGGCCGAAAGGCGUAGUCGAUGGGAAACAGGUUAAUAUUCCUGUACUUGGUGUUACUGCGAAGGGGGGACGGAGAAGGCUAUGUUGGCCGGGCGACGGUUGUCCCGGUUUAAGCGUGUAGGCUGGUUUUCCAGGCAAAUCCGGAAAAUCAAGGCUGAGGCGUGAUGACGAGGCACUACGGUGCUGAAGCAACAAAUGCCCUGCUUCCAGGAAAAGCCUCUAAGCAUCAGGUAACAUCAAAUCGUACCCCAAACCGACACAGGUGGUCAGGUAGAGAAUACCAAGGCGCUUGAGAGAACUCGGGUGAAGGAACUAGGCAAAAUGGUGCCGUAACUUCGGGAGAAGGCACGCUGAUACGUAGGUGAAGUCCCUUGCGGAUGGAGCUGAAAUCAGUCGAAGAUACCAGCUGGCUGCAACUGUUUAUUAAAAACACAGCACUGUGCAAACACGAAAGUGGACGUAUACGGUGUGACGCCUGCCCGGUGCCGGAAGGUUAAUUGAUGGGGUUAGCGGUAACGCGAAGCUCUUGAUCGAAGCCCCGGUAAACGGCGGCCGUAACUAUAACGGUCCUAAGGUAGCGAAAUUCCUUGUCGGGUAAGUUCCGACCUGCACGAAUGGCGUAAUGAUGGCCAGGCUGUCUCCACCCGAGACUCAGUGAAAUUGAACUCGCUGUGAAGAUGCAGUGUACCCGCGGCAAGACGGAAAGACCCCGUGAACCUUUACUAUAGCUUGACACUGAACAUUGAGCCUUGAUGUGUAGGAUAGGUGGGAGGCUUUGAAGUGUGGACGCCAGUCUGCAUGGAGCCGACCUUGAAAUACCACCCUUUAAUGUUUGAUGUUCUAACGUUGGCCCCUGAUCGGGGUUGCGGACAGUGUCUGGUGGGUAGUUUGACUGGGGCGGUCUCCUCCUAAAGAGUAACGGAGGAGCACGAAGGUUGGCUAAUCCUGGUCGGACAUCAGGAGGUUAGUGCAAUGGCAUAAGCCAGCUUGACUGCGAGCGUGACGGCGCGAGCAGGUGCGAAAGCAGGUCAUAGUGAUCCGGUGGUUCUGAAUGGAAGGGCCAUCGCUCAACGGAUAAAAGGUACUCCGGGGAUAACAGGCUGAUACCGCCCAAGAGUUCAUAUCGACGGCGGUGUUUGGCACCUCGAUGUCGGCUCAUCACAUCCUGGGGCUGAAGUAGGUCCCAAGGGUAUGGCUGUUCGCCAUUUAAAGUGGUACGCGAGCUGGGUUUAGAACGUCGUGAGACAGUUCGGUCCCUAUCUGCCGUGGGCGCUGGAGAACUGAGGGGGGCUGCUCCUAGUACGAGAGGACCGGAGUGGACGCAUCACUGGUGUUCGGGUUGUCAUGCCAAUGGCACUGCCCGGUAGCUAAAUGCGGAAGAGAUAAGUGCUGAAAGCAUCUAAGCACGAAACUUGCC
rnacentral:rRNA from 1 species